rnacentral:rRNA from 1 species
AAUCCUGACACAGGGAGGUAGUGACAAGAAAUAACAAUACAGGGCUACUUUUAGUCUUGUAAUUGGAAUGAGUACAACUUACAUCUCUUCACGAGGAUCAAUUGGAGGGCAAGUCUGGUGCCAGCAGCCGCGGUAAUUCCAGCUCCAAUAGCGUAUAUUAAAGUUGUUGCAGUUAAAAAGCUCGUAGUCGGAUUUCGGGUCGGGCCGAGCGGUCUGCCGAUGGGUAUGCACUGUUUGGCGCGGCCUUCUUUCCGGAGACCGCGGCUACUCUUAACUGAGCGGGCGUGGGAGACGGAUCGUUUACUUUGAAAAAAUCAGAGUGUUUCAAGCAGGCAGCUCGCUCUUGCAUGGAUUAGCAUGGGAUAAUGAAAUAGGACUCUGGUGCUAUUUUGUUGGUUUCGAACACCGGAGUAAUGAUUAACAGGGACAGUCAGGGCACUCGUAUUCCGUCGAGAGAGG